AUGGAGGAGAAGAUCGGGAUGACCAAGCUUUGGGCUCUUUUUCUUGUGGUUUUCGUCCUCCUCCGAAACGCGCAGGCGGCGGCCGACGGGAACAAGAGCCGUGGUGGUAUGAGGCGCCUUGCCGGGGCGCCAGGCGUACCAGUGCCUAUGACCCUCCUCACGUCCGCCGUCGCCAUGGGAGCCGUGUGCUUGGAUGGGACGCCGCCGGCUUACCACAUGGAUCCGGGCUCCGGUGCAGGGAAGAACCGUUGGAUCAUCCACCUACAGGGAGGCUCAUGGUGCGAGAGCGUGGGGUCGUGCCUGUACCGCAAGGCGAGCAGCCUCGGCUCAUCGAAUCUAAUGAACAAGCAGAUCUACUUCGGCGGCAUCUUGAGCUCCAGCCCCCUCGACAACCCUGAUUUCUACAGCUGGAACCAGGUGGUGAUCCGCUACUGCGACGGCGCGUCUUUCGCCGGCGAAGGCUAUGACGCGGGCUCGGGGCUCUUUUUCCGGGGCCAGCGCAUAUGGAACGCCGCCAUCCAGCACCUCCUCGCCAUGGGGAUGUCCUCCGCGGAUCAGGUGCUGCUGACGGGAAGCUCGGCCGGGGCCCUGGCGGUGGUGCUGCACUGCGACCAGUUCGGCGCCGUCUUCGCCGGCCGGGGCACCACUGUCAAGUGCCUCGCCGACGCAGGAUUCUUCCUCGACGCCGUCAACGUCGCUGGGUGGCAUACCUUGAGAUACUACUUCGGAGGCGUCGUAGCCACGCAUGGGGUGGCUCAGAACCUGCCCAGGAGUUGCACCAGUCAUCUCGACGCCACCUCGUGCUUCUUCCCGCAGAAUGUAAUCGGCGGCAUAAAUACCCCAAUCUUCGUGCUGAAUGCAGCCUACGAUACCUGGCAGAUUCGGGAAAGCCUGGCCCCGGACGGAGCCGACCCCGGCCGCGCCUGGCGAGCCUGCAAGUCCAGUCGUUUAGCCUGCAACGCAUUCCAAAUGAACUUCUUGCAAGCUUUCAGGGACCAGAUGGUGGGCACCGUGCUAGGCGUCUCCCGUUCCAGGAGGAACGGGUUCUUCAUAAACUCGUGCUUCACUCACGACCAGUCCGAGUACCUGGCCACUUGGAAUGCAUAUGGCUCUCCUUCUAUUCAAAACAAGGCGAUCUGGAAAUCUGUGGGUGACUGGUAA
rnacentral:rRNA from 1 species